rnacentral:rRNA from 1 species
AGAUCAGUACGCUGGUCGUGCCUUUGGUAUGCACUGGUGUCACUGGUUUCUCCCUUCUGAAGAACUGUCAUGCCAUUCAGUUGGUGUGGCGGGGAAUCAGGACUGUUACUUUGAAAAAAUUAGAGUGUUUAAAGCAGGCGUCCGUCUGAAUACAUUAGCAUGGAAUAAUAAAAUAGGACGGUUUGGUUCUAUUUUGUUGGUUUCUAGGACCGAAGUAAUGAUUAAUAGGGAUAGUUG